rnacentral:rRNA from 1 species
CCUACGGGCGGCUGCAGUGGGGAAUCUUGCACAAUGGGCGCAAGCCUGAUGCAGCCAUGCCGCGUGUAUGAAGAAGGCCUUCGGGUUGUAAAGUACUUUCAGUCGUGAGGAAAGUGUUAAGGUUAAUAACCUUAGCAAUUGACGUUAGCGACAGAAGAAGCACCGGCUAACUCCGUGCCAGCAGCCGCGGUAAUACGGAGGGUGCGAGCGUUAAUCGGAAUUACUGGGCGUAAAGGGCACGCAGGCGGUUAAAUUAGUUGGGUGUGAAAUUCCCGGGGCUAACCUGGGAAUUGCAAUUAAGGACUGUUAGGUUGGGGUUUGGAGAGGGGGGUAGAAGUCCAAGUGGAGCGGUGGAAUUGGUAGAGAUGUGGAGGAAUACCGGUGGCGAAGGCGACCACCUGGACUAAUACUGACACUGAGGUGCGAAAGCGUGGGGAGCAAACAGGAUUAGAUACCCCUGUAGUC